rnacentral:miRNA from 1 species
CAAACUUGAUGGUGUUUAUGACGUCGAAAAUCGACGUCAUAAACACCAAACUUGAUCGUGUUUAUGACGUCGAAUAUCGACGUCAUAAACACCAAAC